GGGACACGUGGUAUCCUGUCUGAAUAUGGGGGGACCAUCCUCCAAGGCUAAAUACUCCUGACUGACCGAUAGUGAACCAGUACCGUGAGGGAAAGGCGAAAAGAACCCCGGCGAGGGGAGUGAAAAAGAACCUGAAACCGUGUACGUACAAGCAGUGGGAGCCUCUUAAUGGGGUGACUGCGUACCUUUUGUAUAAUGGGUCAGCGACUUAUAUUCUGUAGCAAGGUUAACCGAAUAGGGGAGCCGAAGGGAAACCGAGUCUUAACUGGGCGUUAAGUUGCAGGGUAUAGACCCGAAACCCGGUGAUCUAGCCAUGGGCAGGUUGAAGGUUGGGUAACACUAACUGGAGGACCGAACCGACUAAUGUUGAAAAAUUAGCGGAUGACUUGUGGCUGGGGGUGAAAGGCCAAUCAAACCGGGAGAUAGCUGGUUCUCCCCGAAAGCUAUUUAGGUAGCGCCUCGUGAAUUCAUCUCCGGGGGUAGAGCACUGUUUCGGCAAGGGGGUCAUCCCGACUUACCAACCCGAUGCAAACUGCGAAUACCGGAGAAUGUUAUCACGGGAGACACACGGCGGGUGCUAACGUCCGUCGUGAAGAGGGAAACAACCCAGACCGCCAGCUAAGGUCCCAAAGUCAUGGUUAAGUGGGAAACGAUGUGGGAAGGCCCAGACAGCCAGGAUGUUGGCUUAGAAGCAGCCAUCAUUUAAAGAAAGCGUAAUAGCUCACUGGUCGAGUCGGCCUGCGCGGAAGAUGUAACGGGGCUAAACCAUGCACCGAAGCUGCGGCAGCGACACUAUGUGUUGUUGGGUAGGGGAGCGUUCUGUAAGCCUGUGAAGGUGUGCUGUGAGGCAUGCUGGAGGUAUCAGAAGUGCGAAUGCUGACAUAAGUAACGAUAAAGCGGGUGAAAAGCCCGCUCGCCGGAAGACCAAGGGUUCCUGUCCAACGUUAAUCGGGGCAGGGUGAGUCGACCCCUAAGGCGAGGCCGAAAGGCGUAGUCGAUGGGAAACAGGUUAAUAUUCCUGUACUUGGUGUUACUGCGAAGGGGGGACGGAGAAGGCUAUGUUGGCCGGGCGACGGUUGUCCCGGUUUAAGCGUGUAGGCUGGUUUUCCAGGCAAAUCCGGAAAACCAAGGCUGAGGCGUGAUGACGAGGCACUACGGUGCUGAAGCGACAAAUGCCCUGCUUCCAGGAAAAGCCUCUAAGCAUCAGGUAACAUCAAAUCGUACCCCAAACCGACACAGGUGGUCAGGUAGAGAAUACCAAGGCGCUUGAGAGAACUCGGGUGAAGGAACUAGGCAAAAUGGUGCCGUAACUUCGGGAGAAGGCACGCUGAUAUGUAGGUGAAGCGACUUGCUCGUGGAGCUGAAAUCAGUCGAAGAUACCAGCUGGCUGCAACUGUUUAUUAAAAACACAGCACUGUGCAAACACGAAAGUGGACGUAUACGGUGUGACGCCUGCCCGGUGCCGGAAGGUUAAUUGAUGGGGUCAGCGGUAACGCGAAGCUCUUGAUCGAAGCCCCGGUAAACGGCGGCCGUAACUAUAACGGUCCUAAGGUAGCGAAAUUCCUUGUCGGGUAAGUUCCGACCUGCACGAAUGGCGUAAUGAUGGCCAGGCUGUCUCCACCCGAGACUCAGUGAAAUUGAACUCGCUGUGAAGAUGCAGUGUACCCGCGGCAAGACGGAAAGACCCCGUGAACCUUUACUAUAGCUUGACACUGAACAUUGAGCCUUGAUGUGUAGGAUAGGUGGGAGGCUUUGAAGUGUGGACGCCAGUCUGCAUGGAGCCGACCUUGAAAUACCACCCUUUAAUGUUUGAUGUUCUAACGUUGGCCCGUAAUCCGGGUUGCGGACAGUGUCUGGUGGGUAGUUUGACUGGGGCGGUCUCCUCCUAAAGAGUAACGGAGGAGCACGAAGGUUGGCUAAUCCUGGUCGGACAUCAGGAGGUUAGUGCAAUGGCAUAAGCCAGCUUGACUGCGAGCGUGACGGCGCGAGCAGGUGCGAAAGCAGGUCAUAGUGAUCCGGUGGUUCUGAAUGGAAGGGCCAUCGCUCAACGGAUAAAAGGUACUCCGGGGAUAACAGGCUGAUACCGCCCAAGAGUUCAUAUCGACGGCGGUGUUUGGCACCUCGAUGUCGGCUCAUCACAUCCUGGGGCUGAAGUAGGUCCCAAGGGUAUGGCUGUUCGCCAUUUAAAGUGGUACGCGAGCUGGGUUUAGAACGUCGUGAGACAGUUCGGUCCCUAUCUGCCGUGGGCGCUGGAGAACUGAGGGGGGCUGCUCCUAGUACGAGAGGACCGGAGUGGACGCAUCACUGGUGUUCGGGUUGUCAUGCCAAUGGCACUGCCCGGUAGCUAAAUGCGGAAGAGAUAAGUGCUGAAAGCAUCUAAGCACGAAACUUGCC
rnacentral:rRNA from 1 species